UGGCUGACCUCGAAUCAGGCGGAAAUACCCGCUGGAUUU
rnacentral:rRNA from 1 species